rnacentral:lncRNA from 1 species
CUGGUUUCGUCCCUUCGGGGACAUCCGAUAAAAUUGGAACGAUACAGAGAAGAUUAGCAUGGCCCCUGCGCAAGGAUGACACGCACAAAUCGAGAAAUGGUCCAAAUUUUUUUUUUCCACAUUUUUGUUCUGGGUUUUGUUGGAAUCUGAGGUCUGUUUCUUUCUUCAUCGUUUUCUUUAAUCUAUUGUCCCUCUUUGUCUCUGUGGAUUGUUAAAAAGCUUCUUGCUUUAACUAUAUUGGUUGGAGUAUUGUGAAAUUUUUAGGUUUCAGAGUGAAUCGUGAAUAAGCUAAUUGUUCAGUAUGCGAUUUCGGACUUAGAAAUUUAAGUUGAACGAGAAAAAAAAUGGGAUUUUUCCUUUCUAUCGUGUGCUCUUUCAUUUACAUAAUAGUUUUAUGUAGAAAAAGAGUGAUGAAAUAGAAUUGGAAUUACAGCACUCACAAUAUACAGAGAGACGGAAAAAUCAAGGUGACAGAGUGUAUUUAAGUUGGAGGAGGAUAAAGCGGUGUUUCCACACUCUCUGGAGUUCCAAACGAAUUGUCGGAAUCCCUAAGGUAAUACACUCUUACAUGACCACAUAUUCUUUGUGCUUAUAAACAAUGAAUAUAAUAUUGGUUAUUCUUCCAUAUGUUUAAUCCGCUCAGAUACGUUUGCAAUCGAGAUAAUUGUCCUUUCAAACAUAGCUGCAUCUCUUUUUGAGAGACGGUUGAGUCUCCUUGUUUUUUGUUUCAUUCUCAUGUCCCUGAGACAAGAGGGGUUGCUCUGAUGGUAAGCAACCUCCACUUCAAACCAAGAGGUUGUGAGUUCGAGUCCCCAAGAGCAAGGUGGGGAGUUCUUGGAGGGAAGGAUGCCGGGGGUCUAUUUGAAAACAGGCUCUUUACCCCUGGGUAGGGGUAAGGUCUGCAUACACACUAUCCUCCCCAGACCCACUAAGUGGGAUUAUACUGGGUUGUUGUUGUUGUUCUCAUGUCCCUGAACUUCUAACCUCUUGUUUCUAUAGUGAACCAUCGUUAACAUACCAUCAAGCCAUGUCUUAUUACACAAUGACAUCGGGCCCUUAUUGCGGCCCACCCUUGUGUUUGUGUUAUGUCACUAUGUGAAUGUGAAGCUGAAAUGCUAUCUAGUCAAAGAUAUGAGUUGUAGCUAAGAUACUCAAUGCAGAAAUAUUUUUUCUGCUCAGAUAUUGAUCUUUGAUGACUUGUUAUCUUCCAUAUGUGAUGCUAUAGUGGCCUUUUCAUCUUCUCAAUUCAUUAGCAUAAGUUGUCUCAUUAACUCAACAUAUAGCAGUGCAACAUAUUUUGCUACAUAGUUAAUCUAUGAGCUGGUCUCUUGGGGUUUAAUGAUGCAUCAAAACACUACAAUCACAAAAAGCUUCUUGCUUUAUCAUAUAAUUGUCGAUUAAGCUUUGGUGUGAAUUUCUCUUUUGGGGUGCAAUUGUGGACUUAGAUGUAUGGGUCAAUUUGCAAAGGUCUUUUUUUCUUUUAGAUGAUUUGUCAACAUAGAUGUCAAGAAAUUGGGUAAGACACUGUUGUGAGCAUAUUAUUUACUACUCUUAUUUAAACAGAAUAAAGUGUUUUAUAUGGUGUUGGAAAUUAAAGUAAAGGAGGACUUCUGUUUAUAAUUGUUCUUGCUUACAUAAAUUUAGGCUAAUUACUUAGAAAUGGGCAAGAGGAAGUCAUUAUAUAUACAGUGCAAUUUUAGUAUCUGCCAUGUCAAAUGGGGAGGGGUAAGGUUGCGUACAUCCUACCCUCCCCAGACCCUACUUGUGGAAUUAUACUGGGUUGUUGUUGUUGUUAUCAUGUCAAAUGGGGGAGGGGCUUAAAAUAUGCAAAAUGGGUAAAUAUAGAAUUCCUCUUGUAAUAUAUAAGCUGUUGAAUCUCUUCGACAUGAGGUAAAUUUAUAGUGUAGUGGUAAAGGGGUUGAAACAUUGUAGUAUUUUAUUGAAUCCCUUAUAUAAAUUUCUAGCUCCAUCACCGGGUAUGGAACGCUUAUGAGUAUGUGAUGUGGAUCCUAAGUCUGCUCUGUAUCAGAUACUAGUACUCAGUUUGAUGAAACUUAAGGCUCAGUUACAGAUGUUGGGAGAAUUUGUAAGCUCCUCUACGAAAGCAACAGUACUAGUAGCCGUUACACAUUAAAUUUCAUAUAUACAGAUCACGUCUUAAGUAUUUUGACGAUGAUAUGAGUUGAACUUAAUAAAGAAAGAAGUGAGGAUUCAUACAGCCAACCCAACUUGUUUGGGAUUGAGGCGUAAUUGUUGUUUUUGUACACUAAGUCUGCUGCAACCUCCAUUUAUCCGCUUCCGAUUCCAUGUCUAGGCCCCUUCUCUAGAGAUGACAUUGUGAUGUACCAACCUGGAAAACAAGGAUUUAUUUUCAAAAAAGUGAUCAUUUCUUGAGAAUAUCUAGGAUUGUUGAAACUGGAGGUUCUGUUCCAAUUUGCAAGACAAAAGUUGUAAACAAUAACAUAAACCCCAUAUGGAGUCCUGUCUGUCUAGUUAUGCAACAAUUUUUGGAUAAGGGAAAUUCAUUUGUACAGCGCGUCGACUUUAACAGCAGUGAAAAUUAUGUCCUCGUUGGGAAAAUACAAAAAGAAAAGAAAAGGGGACAUACCUGAGAAGCAACUGUAUAGUUUUCCCGACUAUAUUUCUAGUGGAUUUGAGCUUAGCUUUAUGUUUUCUUUGUCGUUUGUUUUAAGUUUUAUUAAAUUUCAGCUUAGCGCUUUGUUGGUAUAAACGUGAAAACUUCAUGCCAAAGAGAACUUGCUCCUACCAUUAAACUAGUUGCAAGAAGAGUUCUAUGAAUAUGCCCUGAGAACACAGUAGGGCAGCCCAGAGCACUCAGCUCCCGCUAUGUGCGGGGUCCUGGGAAGGGCCGAACCACAAGGGUCUGAUUGCAUCAUAUACAAGCUAUGUAAGAUUCUGAGCAUUCACUAAGAACACAAAGUAUCUAACCGACGUGAGAAAUUAUGCAGUGUUUCUUGAGCAGGGUAACCAAAAUGCUUUAAGAAUCGACUGAAUGGUCCUCUAUAAGAGCAAUUUACUAUAACAUCUAAGUUUUUUUUCUCUAUAACAACACUUACUAUAGUAGCCAAAGAAUGUCGCAACAAACGAGGUUGUUAUAGAGAGGUUGAGGCUGUUAUAGAGAGGUUUGACUGUAUUUAAUAUAUCCCUCUUUUCCGCUUUCAAAACUGGCUUUUUAUAAUCCAAGAUGAACAUGUCUGUUUGUAAUUAUACAUGUUUUUACAUUCAGACGCUAUAUCUGUUGGUUUGCUAGUUAUUCUCACAAAACAUUGCAACACAUUGCAACAGCCAUGUCAAUGAGCUGAUUUAAGGUGACUACUAUUUCGUUUGAUCAAGAUCUCUAUAUAUAACCCCCUUUCUCCAUCCACUUUUCUUUUAAUUUGAAUAUCUUUCUCUAGGUUAUCGAAUUUGCAAUGAAGGCAUUGUUAUUUACCAGUCUUGGUUGCAACCAGAAGUUCCAUGCAAACUGCUAAUGAUGCACCAUUUCAUUUGAUGUGAUUUCUUUAGUAUAAUUUAGCUGAUUCUGUUCAUUUUUUACAUUUAUAUAUAUGUAGCUUUGUCCAUUUAGUGAUUGCAUGAAUGCUAUAUCUUGAUUUUCUUUUAAUGCACUGAAACUAUAAAUGGACGUACAGGCAAUGGGUCAAGGUAUACAGUAUGCGCACGUCAUGGGUUCGAACGCUGCCGCAAAGAAAAGCCUGGUAUCUAAGUGGGGAAGGGUAGGGACGCGAUCCACCAAGCUUUGAGUUGUGCAACACUGGCCCUUGGAGUUUUCUCAGUCAUCAAAAAAAGAAAAUGAAUCAAGGUAUAACUGCAUAUAUAUAAUGCUCAUUCUUGAAUAGAGUGAGAUUUGGCAUGCUACUAUUUGCAUGAAUAGUAACUUAAUUUACAAGCCUCUGAAAUUCUACAUGAUUAGUAACUUAGGCAGCAAAAAUUCUGAACCCAAAAUCUCCAGAUUUUGAUAAAUUCGUUUAGCUCUCACUUUACCUGUUGCUAUUCUCACAAUAUUUACCAACUGAAACAAAAAAAGGCAGCUCGGUGCACAAGAUAUCUGCAUUCACGUAGGGUUCGAGAAAGAGCCGCAUCUCAAAAGGUGUAUGUAGACAGCCUAUCCUAAUACAAGUAUUAAUGGCUUGCUUCCACGGAUUGAAUCCAUGACCUAUAGAUCUAACGAAAACAACUUUACGUUGCUCCAAAGCUCCCCUUCACUUACCAACUGAAACAAUUUCAGGAAAAUAUGAACAUGAACAAUAGUUAAUUCCCUGAAGAUCCGCUUAUUGGCUCAAGGAAAAGAAGAGAUGAAAAUAGAUAUGAGCGUUACACUAUGUUGAAUGCUGAUAUUAGUAAAUUUGAUUAUUAUACUAUUGAAUUUAUAUAUGUUAGAUGAGCGUUACACUAUUGUAUUUUCAAAAACAUUGAGAAGUGCAGAUGAGAAAAUUUGAAUGGUAGAUGGUACAUUUUUUUUCUUUACAUUUUGCUUUUAUUAAUUUAGAUCCUUAGGACUUGCCAACUCUACCUACCUGUUCAAUUGGUUGUUGAGCUUUAAAAAUCUAAACUAAUAAAGAACUAUAUCCCAG